CCACAACACGCUCACGUGCCGCCGCCGCGCGCACGCGCGGGGAGAGAGCUCGAGGCCGCGGGAGGUGGUGGUGGUUGUGGUUGUCGGGCCCGGCCGCGCCGCGACUGUGCGGGCGGGCAGGUAAUAGUGAAGGCUGGGAAAGGGGCGGGGAGCCGGGUUUGACCUGCCCGAGAAAGGGCUGUGCUGAGCUCUGGAGCUAAGGAUGGGCUUUGUGCCGAGGCUUUGGGUUGUGCCGAAAUACAAAGAGUCCGGUAAGGUGGCUCUUAAAUUCGAGCAUUAGACGAAGCGUGAAUUUUCUCUCGGCUGUGCCUUGGCUCCAGCUCUGCUCGGUCGGUUUCCCCAUCAGCAAAGAGGGAACCGCGGUGCGCGCACACGUCGCACGGAGGGAACGCCUGGCCCCUCACUUCAGCUGCUUUCAGGUUCUUGCAGUGGUCCCACAGCUUUGGGAUGCUGUCACACAGCUCUGUGCCUCGCGGGCAGGAAGGAGUUCAGAGCUGCUGACAUGAUCAACGCUAAGAAAAAUCCGCUUGAAAUUGGAUUUAUCAGCUAGGGGGGAAUACCAAAAGCACGCUCGCCCACCACCCCGCUGCCCAUCUCUGUAGGCAUUCAACUCUGCCGUGUGGUGCACGGACAGCAGGAUGAGUCACAGAACCUUGAGCUGGAGGGAGCAGUGCCGAGCUGACCCUUCUGGUGGAAGUCAUCGUUUUUCCUCCCCCCCUUCCUCCAUCUCAAAUUAGAAAAUAAAACAAGCUCGAAUUUC